UGACAUCAUGCUUAGCAGCCCUGGGCAGU
rnacentral:piRNA from 1 species